CAUGGAUGUUUUCCUGAAUGUUUCCAAUCAAGCUCUAAACUAAAAUGAAGAGACCCACUAGAUUUUUUUAAUUGGCAUUAUAAUUAUGCUAAUAGAACUGAUGUCAGAAGAAGAUUCUACUAGCAUUAAAACGAUGUAUUAUUGAUGAUUUUUGGUUAAAUCUUAAUGUAAAAGUUGGCUUUAUUUUUUUAAUUGUGCAUCCUUGGUACAUGGUUAUAAACUGCCAAAAAAAUAAAAAUAAAAAAGAGUAGAUCUAUUGAAGAUCUACCUACCUUAAUAAUGUGUCUGGAAUUGGUUCCUGCCGGUAGAUUAGUGGUCUCAGUGACUUCAAGAAUGAAGCGGCAGACCUUGGUGCGUAAACAAUUGCUUUUAAAACUUCAUUAGGUUUUUGUGUGAACAUAAACUUUCGAUUCAUUUGGAUAAACACCAGGGAACACAAUUGCAAGAUCAUGUGGUCACGUUGACAGCAUGAACCUUCGAUGUGAUGUGAGGAAAAUGGCAUUCUACCUCUGUGUUCUUCCUCCCCAAAAUUUGUAACCACCAUCUAAUCAUGAGGAAAACAUCAUACAAGUCCAAAUUGAGGAAGAUUCUACAAAAUGCCUGAUUAAUAUUCAUCGAAACUGUCAAGGUCAUCAAAAGCAAGGAAAGUCUGAGAAACUGCCACAGCCUAAAGACAAUCCAGGGAAACGUGAUGACUCAGUGGUAUUCGGGGUGGGUUUCUGGAACAGCAAAAGGACAACAGGUAAAAUCUAAGAACAUACGAAUAAAGUGUGAACUUUAAUUAAUAAUGAUGUAUCAAUAUUGAUUCAUUAGUUUUGACAAAUGUACCAUAGUAACGGAAGAUGUUAACAAUUAGAGAAACUGGGUGCAGGGUUGUGGGAACCCUGUGUACUAUCUUUGCAACUUCCCUAUAAAUCUAAGACCAUUCUAGAAUACAAAGUUCAUUUUAAAAUAAAUUUUUAAAAUAUUUAGAAUACUAGACCACGGUAUCAAAAUAGGUAGAAAUCCUUAGUCAUAGGACUCUUAUA
rnacentral:lncRNA from 1 species